CAACGUCAUCUCGACGUGCCAGAGAAGUGGUAUAAAAGUCCUGCUCUCUCUCGGUGGUGGUUCCAACUCAGCUACAAGUAUGUCCUCUCCGGCUGAUGCAAGGCAAGUAGCUACUUACCUCUACAACAACUUUUUGGGUGGACAAUCAGCUUCUAGACCUUUCGGGAGCGCCAUUUUGGAUGGCAUAGACUUUGACAUCGAACAAGGUUCAAGUCUUUACUAUGAUGAUCUUGCGCGAGCUCUAUCAGGGUUCAGCACGCCACAGAGGAAAGUUUAUUUAUCAGCAGCACCGCAAUGUCCAAUCCCUGAUGCUAAACUAGAUGCUGCAAUAAAAACAGGACUUUUCGACUACGUUUGGAUACAGUUUUACAACAACCCUCAGUGUCAUUACACAGGCACGGCGACUAAUCUUUUGGCCAGGUGGAGGCAAUGGGCUGCUGCACUUCCUUCCCGCAGUCAGAUCUUUCUUGGAUUACCGGCAGCUUCUGCAGCAGCGCCUAGCGGUGGUUACAUUUCCCCUAGUGCAUUAAUCUCUCAGGUUCUUCCAACUAUCAAGAGGACUCCAAAGUAUGGGGGAAUCAUGCUGUGGAAUAAGCUGUAUGAUAAAACUUUCAGUUCUGCUAUCAAGAACAGCAUCUAAUGUAUUCAACCGACUAGGGAAAGGCAAGUACUACUACANGGAAAGACAAGUACUACUACAAAUCAAUAAAUCUGAAUGUAAUCCUGCCUUGAGUUUCGAAUAAGAUAUUUCUUAGUCAGAUGACCAUCAAAGUUAGGAUUGUUGAUCCAGAACUCGUUUGAUAGACACAAAAAUUUCUAUUUGACUUCAAAGAAUACAAAAUCCGAAAAUAACAGCAACUUCUGACCAUAAACCUGAAUAGCUCAGAAUGGUUCUUUCACUAAAAUUUUAUCCAAGUUUAUAUAUGUUGGUCAGCAAAUUUUAUUUAGUGCUAAAAGUACACAAUCUUGACGUCGUUACAAACACAAUUAAGACAAACGCAGCAUCUUAACCCCUAAUUAAAGUAGACACUGAAUUGGUUGUAGAUAUUUAUAAAAUGCUUGCAAGUCUCAAACUCAGAAGAAAAAAAACUAAGAACUGGCUGGUUUGAUCUUUUGUCUUAGAACGAGUCAUUGCCUUGAUGAAGUCGCGAUGCAACUACAAAGAGGAUUGACACAUGCAGCCAAAAAAUAAUAAGAAGAAAGCUAUCUGAAGCUGUUACAAACACUAUCACCGGAUAUGGCAGCAGCCGGUCCAGAACUAUCGAUUAUUAUCAACAUGCUACUUGCGCUUUUUUCUGCUUUUAGGCAAAAUCCUAAAAUGAAUCAAUUUUCUACUCAUAGACCCUUUAGCGCCCACAUCCAAGUUAGACUCAAUCUCUCCCAGCGGAAAUAAACAACUAGUAGGAUGUUGUAUCAAUCACUUGUCAGGGAUCCGGACCUCACUAAAGAUUAAGCAAUAAAGACCGUAUUCCCAUGUACUUGAAUUCUUGAAUGCCUGAUGGAAGUAAGCAAGAUACAAGGAGAGAAGAGCAUGCUCAGAAGUUGAGGGAGGCUUGGAAGAGGAGGAUUAAUACCACUCGUUAAACAUAUUUUUUUUUUUCGAAUGUCAUUUGUGUAACCUAUUUCGGACCUAUAUACAGUAAUACUAAGUUCGGUAAAACAAAUAUAAAAUAUUCAUGUUAUGCUAAUAGUACGAGGGUUAGAUAUGAAUGUGAGAUGAUGAGUAAGGUUGCGUUCACUUGGAUGAAAUGAAAAAAAAUAUACAGAAGUUUUAUGGAGGAAGACAAUAAUGAUCGACUAAAUAUGAGUGAGCCUAAUUUUUCAUUACAUUGAUUGUAGAGAAACAUGACGUAGAAGUGGAAUGAGCAGUGUUCCUUUCAAAACAUUUGAGUUGGAUUUCUAGUUCAAAUAGUUGGAAUGGAAUGACUGAAUCAAUGAAAAUCAUGGAUAUUUUCUCUAAUCAUUGGAGUACAAAAUUCAUUUGAUUCUAUUCAAGUGAACGCAACUUAAGUAUGUCAUUGAUUUUAAUACUUAUUAAGAAUGAAUGAAGUUUAAAUCCUAGAACCAAAACAAGAUCCAGAAGUCUUAUUUUCGAAAUGGAAGACUGACUCGAAGUCUUGCCCUGAGGUCUACCAUCCCAAAUUUCUAACACUUAGCUAUACAAGUCGGUCACAAAAUACCAACUACUUGUCCAUGACAAACAGCUUUCGUGGAAGAUGCCCCCUUUGUUUUCAACACUCUCAUUUUCACAAAAUUCAACUCUUUUAAAGCUCUGUGCAAGUACUAUGAGUCCAAAACACCUCAUUCUCAGGCCUAUAAAAUGUCCAUUCAUUAGCAACUAUUACAUCAAACAAGUUCCACUUCCCCUCUAAACAUGGCAAGCAUUUCCCCGCUACUCUUCCUGCUCUUCCUUUCGUGCACUUUCACACUUUUCCAUUCCUCCCGAGGUGCUGGAAUCGCCAUCUACUGGGGACAGAGUGGCAAUGAAGGCACAUUGGCUUCCACCUGCGCCUCAGGAAACUACCAAUAUGUACUCAUUGCUUUCUUAACCACAUUUGGCAGUGGCCGAACCCCGGUCCUAAAUUUAGCUAGCCAUUGCACUCCCAGCUCUAAUGGCUGCACCGUUUUGAGCAACGUUAUCUCCACUUGCCAAAGCAAUGGUAUCAAGGUCCUGCUCUCUCUUGGCGGUGGUUCCAACUCAGCUACAAGCAUGUCCUCUCCGGCUGAUGCAAGGCAAGUAGCUACCUACCUCUACAACAACUUUUUAGGUGGACAAUCAGCUUCUAGACCUUUCGGGAGUGCCAUUUUAGAUGGCGUAGACUUUGACAUCGAACAAGGUUCAAGUCUUUACUAUGAUGAUCUUGCCCGAGCUCUUUCCGGGUUCAGCACACCACAGAGGAAAG
rnacentral:lncRNA from 1 species